UAGGGUUCUUGCUCUUUCCACAAAAGAAAAAGGUCCACGAACAAAAGCUUUUUUACGAGUCUUAAAAUAUUCCACAGGUGGAGUUCUAGAGCCUGCAAAGUUAUACAAACUAAAGCAUCUUUCAAAGGUUGAAGUUAUAGCCAACGACCCCAGUGGAUGCACAUUUACAUUGGGUUUCGAUAACCUAAGAAGUCAAAGCGUUGCCCCGCCCCAAUGGACUAUGCGUAAUAUUGAUGACCGGAACCGG
rnacentral:misc_RNA from 1 species